rnacentral:tRNA from 1 species
GGUGCUGUGGUCCAGUAAGUUAUAUCACGUGCUCUCAGUGUGCCUGAACCACUUCUAACAAAAUCCUCAGAUGGUUAAGAUGACUCGUUGUGGCCGAGUUGGUCCCGGUUCGAUUCCGGGCAGCGCCA